rnacentral:rRNA from 1 species
AUUGAACGCUGGCGGCAUGCCUUACACAUGCAAGUCGAACGGCAGCACGGGGCGAACCCUCGGUGGCGAGUGGCGAACGGGUGAGUAACACAUCGGAACGUGCCCAGUAGUGGGGGAGUAGCUCGGCGAAAGACCGGAUUAAUACCGCAUACGACCUACGGGUGAAAGCGGGGAGUCGCAAGACCUCGCGCUAUCGGAGCGGCCGAUGUCAGAUUAGGUUGUUGGNGGGGUAAAGGCCUACCAGGCCGACGAUCUGUAGCUGGUCUGAGAGGACGACCAGCCACACUGGGACUGAGACACGGCCCAGACUCCUACGGGGAGGCAGCAGUGGGGAAUUUUGACAAUGGGCGCAAGCCUGAUCCAGCCAUGCCGCGUGCGGGAAGAAGGCCUU